GAGAGGAAGGUCCGCCGUUCGCACAGUGAAAACGAAGGAUCAGCCAAGCGGUUAGCCGCUUAGUCACGUGCAGCGAGCCGCCGACGCCCAUUCCAUUCUCGAAUGCUAAUAAGGCGGGGAGUUCCAAAUCGGAGCGUUCGGGGGAAUAAGGGUUCUUCCUUCGAGCUGUUCCCCCUCCCCGCUGGGAACCACCCGGUUCUGCAGUGUAGGCCGCAGUGCUGUCACCUGAUUGCCGAGCACACCAUCUCUCCCUUCCGCCAUAAGGAAGGAUGGAAUGGUAGGGUCUGGAAUAUGACACCGCAGCCCCUCCCCUUGGAUGAUCUCGGAUGGCCAGUCUCACAAGAGCCGGGUGUCGCCGUCUGAGAGGGAUUCCCGGGGUCUGCAGCUGCCGCCAUCCACCCACCGCCCACCGCGGCACGGAUCUAGACAGAGACGUUUGUCAAGGCAGGCGACAUAAUGGUUUCUCCUUUUGUUGCUGUCACAGAAAGGUUUAAAGACCACAACAACUUCUCAUCAUCAAUCAGCACCCAGAUGAGCAGAGCUUAAUAUCAAGAUUAGAUUAGACCAACAAUCAAUAAGCAAACAUUAUCCCAAUCAAGGAACUGCCAAACAAGAGAGCAAGGGAUAUGGCAUCACUUAUCUCCUGUAUACAACAGCCCUUUCAGCAGUCCCAAGAAGUUCCUACACCCAUUUGCACUCUGGUUCAAGUGACUCUGAAGAUAAGAAAACCCCCCAAAUGACCUCAACAACUCUGAGAGGAUUAGAGAGCUAAUGAUCAACUGACCCUCAGAAUGCUAAAGACCAGAUGACAGCAAAGAAUAUAAACCCUUGCAUUCCUCACCAGUCAGUCAGAACCGAAAAAGUUUCUUGGAUGAGAAGCAAAAUGUUUUCAAAGACAAAAACCCAACAAAGUCCAGUUGCCCUUUGGAAAAGCACCUUUAAGGCAACCAUAACCUGGAUGAUCAAGAAUCUCCAUAGACAAUAAAAAUUACAUUUAUCUCCUAUUAACUUCAGUGAGGCCUUCUCCCAUAUAAAUAGCAAAACUUCUUGUUUAUUUUAGUCAAAAUAUAUACAUUUGAAUUACUUCAAAUAUUUUAAAUAAAUAUUUCAUUUAAGGUGUUAACAUAUAAAUGCCUAAGGAUUAUUUGCUUACUUUUCACUGUAUUUUAAAUCCAUCAAAUCAGAAGACUAGACUCUUAGUCUAUUUUGAUAAGUUGUUAUGUAUAAAUAGAAAGUGGGUCCCAUCAUUUCUGCAGAAAGAAGAGAGAGAGAACAUGUAUUAAAUAAAUUUUCCAAGUUUAUAACCUAGGGGAUGAUGGUCUGUCAACUUCUGGUGCUAUCUGUAUUAAAAU